UGGGGAAUAUUGCACAAUGGGCGCAAGCCUGAUGCAGCCAUGCCGCGUGUGUGAAGAAGGCCUUCGGGUUGUAAAGCACUUUCAGCGAGGAGGAAGGGUAGUGUGUUAAUAGCACAUUGCAUUGACGUUACUCGCAGAAGAAGCACCGGCUAACUCCGUGCCAGCAGCCGCGGUAAUACGGAGGGGGCAAGCGUUAAUCGGAAUUACUGGGCGUAAAGCGCACGCAUGCGGUUUGUUAAGUCAGAUGUGAAAUCCCCGCGCUUAACGUGGGAACUGCAUUUGAAACUGGCAAGCUAGAGUCUUGUAGAGGGGGGUAGAAUUCCAGGUGUAGCGGUGAAAUGCGUAGAGAUCUGGAGGAAUACCGGUGGCGAAGGCGGCCCCCUGGACAAAGACUGACGCUCAGGUGCGAAAGCGUGGGGAGCAAACA
rnacentral:rRNA from 1 species